UACAGAGGUCUCAAGCGUUGUUCGGAUUCAUUGGGCGUAAAGGGUGCGUAGGCGGCGCGGUAAGUCGGGUGUGAAAUUUCGAGGCUUAACUUCGAAACUGCAUUCGAUACUGCCGUGCUUGAGGACUGGAGAGGAGACUGGAAUUUACGGUGUAGCGGUGAAAUUCGUAGAUAUCGGGAGGAACACCAGUGGCGAAGGCGGCGACCUGGGCCAAUAUUGACGCUGAGGUGCGAAAGCGUGGGGAGCAAACAGG
rnacentral:rRNA from 1 species